UUGCUUGGGAGGAGGUGGGAGGGGAGGGGAAGGAAGAGGAAGGGGGAGAAGUUGUUGAAGGCAGGCAGUAAGGUUCUAGAAGUCUUGUUUAGUAUUACUUUUAAAGCUUUCUAUUAUGGAAAAACCACAUGACAUUCCAAAGUUGGGAGAGCAUAGCUUAAUGAGACUCAUAUGCCUUCCCUGCAGCCUGCAUGUGUCCACAUGGCCAGUGCCACUUCAGGGAGACCUCCCUCCCACGAGGUUUUUAGUGAUCCACCUCACCACCCGGUCUCAUCACCUGUAGAUGCUUCUGAAAGACAGAGACUAAGACUUGCCCUUCACUCCUGGGAAGUCAAUUUGGGAAGGGGUGGGCCCCCAGGCAGUGGGGCUGUAUCUCAUUCCCCCAGCCUCCAUAUCUGUGAGGUAAAGUAAGGGGAGGAUGUUGCCCAGCAGGGGACUCUGGACCGUUGGAGUGAUGGUCAGACACCUGGCUGAAUUCGCCGCAUCCUGAAGACUUGUUUGCCUUGAUGCCUCUUCAGGAGCGCCUGGUGUCUCGGAGAGAGGUGGCCACAGCAAGGGUGCGCACAGUCUCCAUGGGAUCACAGAUGCGUGCCACCACACCAAUGAAUUCAGAUUCUUAUUUAAAAAUUUUAUUUUCAAGUUAUUGCAUGUGUUUGUUGGUGUGUGUAUGUGUUUGUCCGUGAAUGCAAUGUGGGUGUGCCAGGGAGUAAUGCUGAGAAUGAGCCCAGCUCUCAGGAGUUGGUUCUCUCCUUGUGGGGUUGUGGGGCCUGAGCAUAAGCACCUCUACUCACUGAGCCCCUUAAUUAAUUAAUUGAUUGAUUGAUUUUACCAUGUUUACUGAGACAGAGCAUGCACGCACGAACAUGGUUGUGAGUAAAACAGGGCCUUAAGUAAGUGAGGCUGGCCUUGAACCGAUCCUCCUAACUGAAGAUUACGGGUCUGUACCUUUGCAGUGGGCUUUGUGUUUACAGGUUUAUUCUUUUCCACACUAGUAUGGGCUGGCUCAGUUAGCACAGAGUCUUCCACAUUGUCAUCUGACCUUAAUACCCCACUGCUGGCUUUGUGUUUUUCAAAGCCGGUGUUUCCCUGUGGUCCCUUUGCCUUGGGGCAUUGUGGUCCCUUCCCUGCACUGGGCCUUUCUGCUGCAUGGCUACUUAGGUGUCCCUUCUCAAACAAGCCCCGUGUUGUUCCUAUUUGCCACUGUGCCAGGAUGCAGAGCGAUGGACCCGUUCCUGGAAGGGGUCAAUGGAACCCUUGUAGUUGACUCUUGCUCCAGGAAACCCAGCAGCCCCAGUCCCAACCACAAGUGUGCCUUCAAAGGACCCUAUGCAGAGCCCCAGUGUCCCUGAGUGUCCCCAAGACAUGCCCUGUCCUCCAGACACUCUGCUCUUGCAGCCGGCCACAUCCCUCUUCUCCCCCCCGUCUGGUGGGCAUGCACUGCUCCUGCAAAACCAGGCCCACAGUCACAGCUCUCAAAGCCUUCUUGCUCUCCCUUCCCGGGGAUAAAGCCUGAGCACCCAGCUUGCAGGCAUCUGAGCUCUCAUCUCAGGGUGUCACUAGGCCGGGGGCUGUCCCUGCCCUUUUCUGUAAGUUCUUUAGGGACAUAGGUCACAUCUUGUUCUGCUGGGGGCUUUGGCUGCCUAGUAUACAUUCUAGUGUAUAGAAGCAUCUUGCCAAGAAAUCUUUGGAAAUCAGCAGAAAAAUAAUUUAAUAUUACAGAAAUAUGUGAAGUGGAGACAUUCCCCACUGUCUCAUCUCCCCAGAGUAGACACCAUUUCCUUCUGCUUUGCUGGUGGUUUUAUUAACUUACUCUUUUUACCCUUCCCUUUCUGGUUCUGUAACACCUAUUUUAUGCCUUUUAGUGCUUUAGGAACUGAGACAUUUGGGUUUACUGUACUGGUCAUGGGGAAGGUACCUUUGAUUGCUGGAGCUAGUGGUUGUAUGUCUAUGUGCCAUGGAAGAUUUGUGGUCUACCCUUGGUGGUGUGUGUAGCCUUGUGUUAGGGGGAGCUUGCUGUUACUUUCCUAGGCACAGGCUGAUGUAUCAUUUGGCAUCAUUUUCAAAGACCCAUCAUUUGGGAGACUGAUUCCAGAAACGCCUGUGGGUACCAGAAUCCAUGAAUGUUCAAGUCCCUUGUAAAGAGCACAUAGUGUCUGCAUAUAGCUAAUACACUUCAGCCAUUUCUGGAUACUUAUUGCUUCUAGUAUGGUAUAAAUACUGUGUAGGAAAUAAAGAGUAAGAGCAAACAUAGUCUGUAUGUGGUAAAUGUGUUUGUAAUAUUUCUUUCAAAUAUUUUUGAUCUGAAGUUGGUUGAAUCUUGGAUGCAGAAUCUGCCAGGCACAGAGAGCCAACUGCAUUCAUGAGCUGGAAAUAAUUUUCUUUCUUCUUAAAUUUUUUAGAUGUGUGUUUACCUGUAUGAAUGUAUAUGUCUACCUUGUGUAUGCAGUACUUAUGGAGGCCAGAAGAGGGCAUCCCCUGGAGCUAGAGUCCCAUGGUGCUGGGAGCUAAACCCAGGUCCCCUGCAAGAGCAGCCAGUGCUCUUAACACUGAGCCAUCUCACUAGUCCCCAUUUUCUCUUUUCUUAUGAGUGCUAGCUUGUGAGGUAAGUUGCCACUUAACUGUUCUUGGAAAGGGAUGGAUGAGUUUUUGCAGUCUAGAGCAAGAAGGUUUUCAGCAUUCUGCAUGUUUUACUUUUUACCUCCUCCUUCCAAGGAAACUCUAGUAAAUAAGACCACGACAGGCAACGACAGAAGAACACCUCCACUGUGGGAGCACAUCGGGGCAGUUCUGAGCCUCCUGGCAGCUAGUGCGUGUGGGAAAAUGAGAUUAGUUACCAUGGUGAAAGUCCCCAGGAGGGAGAAUAAAAACCAUGGAGAGGGCUGGGUGUAAUGGCACAUGCCUAUAAUCCCAGAAGUCAGGUGGUGGAAGCGGGGGGAUUGCAAAUUCCAGACCAGCCUGGGAUUGCAUAGGAAGAAAAGCAGGACAAAACAAAACACAACAACCCACGCCAAAACAAACGAGCAGAAAGAUGAUUGACUCCUCUGCUCACUGAAGAACCAUGGCAGUGUUACAAAGAGGAAGUUUUAGCCUGGGUGAGGAGAGACUUAUAAUAGACAUAGGAGACGGUGGCCUGAGCCCACCUUCUCUGGUUCCCUGUGCAAGGCUAUUGCAUGUUAGGACAAGGGCUCUUCCUGGUCUCAGCUUCACUCUCCUGCUCUGUCUGGCUAGCUUCAAUUCUCCAACAUCCUGAACCCCUGAAGCUCUACUAGAGGGACUGGUGGGAUUUGUAUUCCAACUGCCAGUAGGGGACUAGAAAUGCCUGUGACCUAAAGAAAACUUGAUCCAUUUGUCUCCCACAUUAAAGAUGCCGGAAGUAGACAACAUAGAGCUCUGGGGGCUCCAGAUUGCUACUACACCACUGUCUGUGACGUGCCACCCUCUCUGCUGGCCUUGAGUGGCUUCUUGUUGUUGGAGCUUCUGCCACUUUUGUUCUCUUUCUGAGCAGUGGGGGCAGUGUGGGAAUAGGCCCCCACCCAGUGCCCACCCGAGUCUGUUCUCACUUGGUGGCCUUAGAAGUCCCUUGUAGUACUGCUUCAGAACUGAGCCACAUCUGAUGUUGGUGAGCAGGGAGUGUGAUGUUUUCACAGGGCACAGUGUCACCUCAAAUGACUUCAGGGUUCUUCUGUUACUGAGGGGGACGGGAGGUGUGGAAUGGGCUUUAGUUCUGCGCCUCAUGAAGAUGAGCUAACUGGGCCUCUCACUUGAAACCCGACAAGUCAUUCGCCUCCCCGAGUUCCCAUCCCUCCCCAUCUGUAGAAUGGGUGGGAAUAUGGAUUGACUGAAUCUCAUAGGUUUCUAAGCAUUGAGAUAAUGCAAGGUAAAUGGGCACAGAGCUUGGUACGUGAUUUGUCUAGGAAGCAGUGGUCCAGUACCGUUUAUAAGUGCUAAUGUAGUUGUCAUUAGUGACCUGCAGAAAAUGCGAGAGUAAGGAGGGGGCUGAGCCGCGAUACAGGGUUCCCUCUGUAUGAUGUAUUCCCACAAGGCAGGAGUCCGACACGCCAGUCGUGUAUACACCCAUGGGUUUGCUCAGAGUAGGGAUGACCAGGGAUGAUUCUCCAUAGUGGUCCAGCUGUGGUCCCUCUGCUCCUAUUUGACAGCGCAGCUCUUGCCUGUGUCAAGGGGUAGUUGCUGUGUGGUCUGCAGCUCCCUUUGAGAUCGGAAUGGCUUUUGCUCUUGGUGCAUUAGUGGGCAAAGGCUGAUUUGGUUCUCAUUCAGCAAUGAUGGGGUGCAGAGGUGUGGAUGCUGGGCCUAAUUUCAUAUGCAUUACUUUCCCCCAACCCAGCAUGCCAUUUAUGGUUCUCUGGGGGAGGUCCUAAGGAGUCCCAGGCACAACCGUUACUGGCUUUUCUAAAAGGUUUGCCAAUCUGGAGCUAUAGCUUGGCUCUGCCUCUCUCUCCCCAUUUUGUCCAGUCCCUGACUCGAGACUCCCCUGGGAACCAGAGUGGCCCUUCCUUCUAUGUAGAUCCUGGAUGCUGUGUAUAAGCAGCAGGCAGGGGAAGCCUUUCCAGACGCAGACGCUCUGGGGACUUGAGCUUCUGCCCCCAGCCUGCCCUCCAGCACCACUGUCUGCAUCUAACUCCUCUAGAAUUUUGUAGAAUGGCUAUAAAGCAUGCCCUAUAAGGAGAUGCCGGCUUGCUGGGGCCCAGCCAGCAGCCGUGUCCCAGAAACUUGGUGUUGUGGGGCUUAGUCACACUCCAGAAGCUGCUUGGAGGCUUUGCUGAUCCAGUGGAAAUGAGGUGCAGUGGGAACUUUGUUCAGGUCAUGAAGGGACAUCUGGAAGAAGGAGACAGCACUGGAGUCUGGAGCUAGGACAUACCUGUGGAGGAAUUCCAGAAUGCCUUUGUCGCAGAGCUGUGCCUCCAUGAACCAGACCUGUAGCAACAGGGAUAGGCUAUCUGUGCCUUCCCUUGCUGGCUGCUUUUUUUAGUGCCCACUUCCAGGCAGGACUCAGGCUUCCUUGCCCCGUGCUGCCCAGUGAGUUAAAAGCAGAACUGGGUUUGGGUCCCAGAAGAAGGGGCUCCUCUGCAUCUCAUGGGCCACUGGCUAGGCAGGAUUCACCCCUAGCCAGUAGCUGUGCAGUUCUGGUCAAGUGGACACAACCUUUCUAGGGCCCAUUGACCAGAUGGUAGCCUGAAGCUUGAGAUGAGGCAAGGACAGAUGGGAGGAGUGUGUGUAUCUCAGCUCCACUGCCAGGAGGCGGCUCAAGAGGGCUGCAACUGUCUGUACUGGACAAGGACUUGGUAGCAGCUCAUCUUCUACUAAUAUGACUCUGGUCUUCUGAAGCCCACCCAUGGCUAAUUGAAAAUUUGACUUUGACCGUCUCAGGUGGGAAAGGGGUGUGAUUUCCUAGUGGGGAGCAAGUCCUUGGCUUGCCACCUUCUCCCAUCAUUCCCGGCGUUUGAAAGAUAAGUAGGAGCCAGCUUGGGCAGGGAUGCUCUGGGAGUGAGCUGAAGGCCCAGGAAAAGGGCAGAAGCAGAGCCUGGCAUGGGGGAGGCUGGUGGAGCACACAGUGACUGAGCUUGAGAGACUAGUGGCUUGGCUGCCUCUCAGCCCAGGCAGCAGGGCCUGGAAGAUCAGCAUGUGAGACUGUGGGGCACUUGAAGGGUAUUCUGGACCAUCACUCAGGGCGUUCUGCUGCCACGCUAUCUGUGACCUCAGUGUCUUUUCUGGCCAAAGGACAUGAGGACGCCUUCUCAUCAUAUUCCAGGGAGGGGACAGUGUCUUCUUAGCUCCAAUGGCCGGGACUCAGCCUUGACUGUGAGUUGGGGAGCCCCUCCAGCUGGACUGUUCAUGGCCCCUUUACUUCUGAGACAGCACAAAACUGCUGUAGGGCCAAGGCCCCUCUGGAGUUGUCUGUCGGUGUGACUUUCUGACCUAGAAGGCAUCUUUAAAUGGCUUUCUAGAAGAUCUGUAGCAUCUCGUGUGACCUAUCGGAGCAACAUACAUUUCUUCACACUCCAGAGAUCCGGUGGUCGCACGUCCUUUCAUCGUAGAGACAGACUUUUCACUGACGAACGUUAAACAAAUCACGGCACAGACCGUGUAGUUUGUUUUCACAAUGCACCUAACUUGGGCUAACUGUGGCUCUUGCCGUGGUUAUUUGUUCUCUAGGUGAACACUGGCCCUGGUUCUCCCUGGCGGCUGUUGAGUGCCCACCUCUCUCUCAUGUUGUGGGGGCAGGGCUGUGGCGAUCACUGCGUGCUACAUAACUAUGAUACCAACUGGUCUUGUUAAAGUAACAUGUACUUCCUAGGGGACAGAUAACCCGGACAUCUGGGGGAACUGUAGAGCGUGAACACCGCAUUGGAGUUUGCCCUUUCAGGCUCAGGGUGCCUUGUUGUCAUAUGCGCUGUGGGGAUGUAUGUGACACUUGCUUCUCUCCCCUCCGGACUAUGCCACUCACAUUCUAGCUUCCUCUGUCUGCCCCUGGGGUUGCCAUGUUGCAAGGCCAGGCACGGCCGUGGGCGGGUGCGGGAUAGAUCAGUCGGUGAAAGGUGGUUGGUUUCCUGCAAUCCUUCUGCCGAUGGGUUCUCUCCAGGACGCACUGCCAGGCCCUUUGCUGUCCUGUGAUACUCUGAGAUGACCAUGCCCCUGACCUAGUCUUCACCUGAGGCUGUGGGAGAUGGAUGGCCAUAUGACUGCAUUACAGCAGCUGCCAAGAAGGGUGGUUUCUGCCUGGUCUGUGUCGCUCUGUUACUAAACAGGUCUCCUGCCAGGACCAUGUGGCACCUGCUCUCCCAUUGCUCUGCUGAACCUCAGGUCAUGAUCCUUUUCUCCACGAAGGCCCUUUGUCACCAAGCCUGACAAAACUGGCCUAGUGCACACCUGUUGGGCAUGUAAUACCUACCACAAGAGAAAGCAUCGGACCAAGGCUAUUGGCUCCCUGCCUACCCCACAGCUAUCCACUGCCUUUGCAAUGUGGGUUGCCCUGGCUCCCUCUCUGUAAAGAGAUUGUGUGAUCUCUUGGGUUGCGUCUUUGUGUGCCUUUCCAGAGUCCCUGACAGACACUUCAGAAAGGAGGGGUGGGACAUCUCCCCAUGGAACCCUCCCUCUCUGUUGCCUCAGCCUUUCAUCUUGAUGCUACGAUCUUUCUGCAGAGCCCUGGGACCUAAGGGUGGGGAAUGUGUGAGAAUUCCUUGAUCUGCUUGAGGCUAACUAGCCCUGUGGAUGGUCUCAAUAGGGUGGAUUUCCAAAGAUUUCAGCUAGCUUCGCCUACAUGUGGUGUUUUGUGCAUAACAAGUAUACAUUAGUGUGUGUGUGUGUUUGUGUGUGUGUGUGCGCGCACACACACAUACGCACACACACAGGACAUUUGGAGUUGGGCUGAACUGCAGGUUUGCAUCUUGCUUCUGACCUUGACUAGCAUUGUGACCUAGUGCCAGUCACUGUGUUUCACUGGCUGACUGCCAAGUUCACGCACACCUGAGUUCCUCAUCCUCGCCUCCCUGUGGCCCGGUGGCUUUUGGAAGGACCAGGUGUGAAUGUGCAGAGGAGGAGCAGGCACAUAUAUACAGGCUGCAGAGUGCUCUUGGUGUGGAGGCCCGGGAGGCAUUCCCCACCAGACCAGCUUUUAGCCUCACAUCAUCAUGCUCCAAAAAUGCUCGCACACAGUUUAUUUAACUUUAAGUGGGGCAAAUUCUGAAAUGGGUUGUUUAUUGUUGAAGUUGAAAUUUUAAUUUCUCAUAAAUUCCCCACAAAUUGCUGUAGUACAUUUAUAUUUAUUGAAUCUGUCAGGGUUGUUUGUAGUACUGAAGCCUGGGCUCCCCGUGUUUGUGGGCCGUUGCCACAGUGACACUGGGGUCUGAGGCUCUGAAGCAGAGGCCUUGCUCUCAUAUGGUUAGAAGGUUCUGGACUGAACUCUGGGUGGAAAGUAUUGUAGCCAGCUCUGGCUGUUUGAGCUAUUUAAGAUGCCAGAUUGUGUUUUAACUUGUCCCUCUCGUCUGUUUCCCCUUCCCUCAGGGGGUCCUUUGCCUGUCACCUCAUCCUCCUCCCCAGGCCCUUGAGGGAUGCAGACUCCCUAGCAGACUCCUGCUUUUCCAGAGACUGUCUCAUCAUGGGCGUGGGCACGGUGAGGUCCACACCUGCCACACAACUGUGGAUGACCUGAGGCCUUGUCCAGUGACUCUGCCCCAUUGUUACCUCACUCUGUAGUCUUUCUAAUGCCUCUCCCUUUCCUUCUUCUCAGCCAGGAAUGGGCUUUGCCCCUCAGCCUUGCCACGCCCAGUCCAGCCCCAGCAUCUGUUAGUACUGCCCACCCUGGCCUUCUCUUCAUAGAAGCUUUGGAAUAGGCAACCAUAGAGAUACCAGUGCUGUGAAACCCUCCCUUUUCCCUCAGGCAGGUCAGGUGCAGGUCACCAGAGCUCCUUCAGCCUGAGUACCUCACCAAGCAGGCUCACGUUCUUUGCUGUACCUCCCCCGAGUGCCCAAUCCCCUGCGUGCUCAGCCACCAUCUGGUGAUCAGGAAACCUGAGUCUGGACUUGUCCCAAGAGCCGCUGUGAUCUCUCUGUGUUCAGGGGCUGCAAGAAUGCCUGAGGGCCCCCAGCUUCAACAGAGGCCUCACUGGCAGCUGGGGUUGGGAGAUGAGGCUGGAGCCUUGGGCCUGGAAAGGAAGAAGGACUCUUAGAGGGGAAGCGACCCGAGGGAGCCCUCUGUUUGCGUGCACCGGAGAGGGCAGAAGUUCCCGUGGCUUCUGGUGCACCUGUCCCAGGUGAAACAAUGCCCAGGGAGCACACCAGAGAACCUGCCUUCCCGGAGCACACAUGCCUUACAGGGGGGAGACCGGAAUAGUAGUGAAUGUGUGUAAUGUGUGAAGAUGGAGACAGGGAGAAGCCCAGCAGGGUAAGGGGCUCACUGGGGAUGGGGAGUGUGUGUGACUUCGUUAACGCUGAGCACAGGCUACCUUCUGGCCCUGUGAUUCUGCCUCUGGGGAAAGAUUGUUUUCCAGUCCAGAGUACAGUGGAUGCCGUACCCGGGGCGGACUGAGUCCCACAAAUGAAUCUAACAGAGGAGCUAAGCUGGGAAGUGUACUCCGUGUCCCUUCCAUGUAGGUGAAAUCUAACAGAGGAGCUAAGCUGGGAAGUGUACUCCGUGUCCCUUCCAUGUAGGUGAAAUCUAACAGAGGAGCUAAGCUGGGAAGUGUACUCCGUGUCCCUUCCAUGUAGGUGAAGGCUGUGGGCGGGCAGAUCUGUGCUCUGGAGGUUAGAGAGAGGCAGGCCAGAGGUGGACCACCACGGGGGAUACGGUGCUGGGAGGGAACACAAGGUAACUGCAAAUAUUUGUCUCUCGGUCUCCGUCCUGGGUGUCCACUUACAUUACCCUCUUUCUCCCUCCCCACCUUUUAAAAGAUCCCCCUCCACUUCCUUGUACUACUGGGAAUUGAACCCAGAGUCCUAUUCUUAUCCAUGUUUAUACUUAAGCAAAAGGCUUUUAGAGAAUAAAGGCGAGACAAUCCUUG